CUGCAGGGAGAAGCACGGCUCAAUUCAUUACACAGUCUAGAAACGAACGAAAUACGUGAGCAGCAAUGAAUGGUAUCAAAUUGUGGUAGUCGUGUAGCCAUUCCGAAGAAACGCAUGCCAUGAGGUAUCAAGUCACCUCUCUGCUGCUGCGAAGCCUACUACCUAACUUCCUUUCGUCAAUGCGAUGCUAACACGGCGGAAGCCUAAUAGGAAACGAUGUAGCAACAUAGACUAACAGGGUAUUUCCACUUGGCCGCACACUAACAUUAAGUUCAAAAAAUCUCACACCUGGCUCAGCAAAUCAUGCAAGCGAUAAGAAACUAGUUAAA
rnacentral:lncRNA from 1 species